rnacentral:rRNA from 1 species
CGGUGAGUACGUUCCCGGGCCUUGUACACACCGCCCGUCAAGCCAUGGAAGCUGGGGGUACCUGAAGUACGUAACCGCAAGGAGCGUCCUAGGGUAAAACUGGUAACUGGGGCU